rnacentral:rRNA from 1 species
GACGAACGCUGGCGGCGUGCUUAACACAUGCAAGUCGAACGAAGUGGCGAACGGGUGAGUAAUACGUGGGUAACCUGCCCUCAUUUUUGGGAUACUCCUUGGAAACGGGGUCUAAUACCGCAUAAGGGGGGCUGGGCUCGCGGCCUAUCAGCGUGUUGGUGGGGUGAUGGCCUGCCAAGGCGGUGUCGGGUAGCCGGCCUGAGAGGGUGAACGGCGACAUUGGGACGGACAUAAGGCCCAGAGGAGUACGGGGUGGAGAAGUGGGGGAUAUUGCACAAUGGGCGAAAGACCGAUGCAGCGACGCCGCGUGGGGGAUGAAGGCUUUAGGGUUGUAAAACUCGUGAGCAAGGGAACGGGUAGGUGGAGAAGAAGCGCCGGCUAACUACGUGCCAGCAGCCGCGGUAAUUC